rnacentral:piRNA from 1 species
UUCCUUUCUGACGUUUGAAGCUUAGAUAGG